rnacentral:rRNA from 1 species
CGGGGUGCAGCAGGCGCGAAAACUUUGCAAUGCGGGAAACCGUGACAAGGGAACUCUGAGUGCCCGUUAAAUCGGGCUGUCCAUCGGUUUAAACAACCGGUGAAGAAAGGGCCGGGCAAGACCGGUGCCAGCCGCCGCGGUAAUACCGGCGGCUCGAGUGGUGGCCACUAUUACUGGGCUUAAAGCGUUCGUAGCUGGUUUGUUAAGUCUCUGGGGAAAUCUUCCGGCUCAACCGGAAGGCGUCUCAGGGAUACUGGCAGACUAGGGACCGGGAGAGGUGAGAGGUACUCCAGGGGUAGGAGUGAAAUCCUGUAAUCCUUGGGGGACCACCUGUGGCGAAGGCGUCUCACCAGAACGGCUCCGACAGUGAGGGACGAAAGCUGGGGGAGCAAACCGGAUUAGAUACCCGGGUAGUCCCAGCUGUAAACGAUGCGCGUUAGGUGUAUCGGUGACCACGAGUCACCGAGGUGCCGAAGAGAAAUCGUGAAACGUGCCGCCUGGGAAGUACGGUCGCAAGGCUGAAACUUAAAGGAAUUGGC